rnacentral:rRNA from 1 species
UCAGAUUGAACGCUGGCGGCAGGCUUAACACAUGCAAGUCGAGCGGAAACGAUGGGAGCUUGCUCCCAGGCGUCGAGCGGCGGACGGGUGAGUAACACUUAGGAAUCUACCUAGUAGUGGGGGAUAGCUCGGGGAAACUCGAAUUAAUACCGCAUACGACCUACGGGAGAAAGGGGGCAGUUUACUGCUCUCGCUAUUAGAUGAGCCUAAGUCGGAUUAGCUAGAUGGUGGGGUAAAGGCCUACCAUGGCGACGAUCUGUAGCUGGUCUGAGAGGAUGAUCAGCCACACCGGGACUGAGACACGGCCCGGACUCCUACGGGAGGCAGCAGUGGGGAAUAUUGGACAAUGGGGGGAACCCUGAUCCAGCCAUGCCGCGUGUGUGAAGAAGGCCUUUUGGUUGUAAAGCACUUUAAGCAGUGAAGAAGACCUAACGGUUAAUACCCGUUAGCGAUGACAUUAGCUGCAGAAUAAGCACCGGCUAACUCUGUGCCAGCAGCCGCGGUAAUACAGAGGGUGCAAGCGUUAAUCGGAAUUACUGGGCGUAAAGCGAGCGUAGGUGGCUUGAUAAGUCAGAUGUGAAAUCCCCGGGCUUAACCUGGGAACUGCAUCUGAUACUGUUAAGCUAGAGUAGGUGAGAGGGAAGUAGAAUUCCAGGUGUAGCGGUGAAAUGCGUAGAGAUCUGGAGGAAUACCGAUGGCGAAGGCAGCUUCCUGGCAUCAUACUGACACUGAGGCUCGAAAGCGUGGGUAGCAAACAGGAUUAGAUACCCUGGUAGUCCACGCCGUAAACGAUGUCUACUAGUCGUUGGGUCCCUUGAGGACUUAGUGACGCAGCUAACGCAAUAAGUAGACCGCCU